rnacentral:sRNA from 1 species
AAUGCACAUAUGAUAGGAUUUAAUAUGAUAGGUUAUAAUGGGUAAUAGGUGUGCAGGAGAGAGAAAACAGUUGAAGAAUUAAUUGUUCAGUUUAGGAAUUAAUUGUUGUUGGGUAGUUAGAAGUGGGCUGCCUUUAUAAGAAGGCAAGGGGGGGUCUGGUAGAGGGGAGUUUUUGAUAUCAAUUGUAUAGACAGGAACCUUGAUCCUGUGGAGGGGGAUUAUGCUCCCAGUUACUGGUUGUACAUGACAUUGGUUGAUGUGAAUACAUAUUUUCAUUCUUUUCUUACCAUUUGGGUGCUAUUGUGUGAGUGUGUGCUGUGAGACAGUUAGGUUUCAUACCCAGAAACCUAACAACAUAUCUAUUUUAUAUGGUUUUAUAGGCUAAGAUUAAUUUGUACCUUUCUUCUUUUAACUUGAUGUCAUCUUUUCUAACUUGCCACUUUUUGGUACAAUUUUUUUUUUGGUACAAUGCAACUUGC